rnacentral:rRNA from 1 species
AUUGAACGCUGGCGGCCGGCCUAACACAUGCAAGUCGAGCGAGCGGCGGACGGGUGAGUAAUGUAUGGGGACUGCACGAUAGAGGGGGGUAAAUACUGGAAACGGUAGCUAAGACCGCAUACUAUCGGAUAAUCCAUAUGGGAUUAGCUAGUAGGUGAGGUACUGGCUCACCUAGGCGACGAUCCCUAGCUGGUCUGAGAGGAUGAUCAGACACACUGGGACUGAGACACGGCCCAGACUCAUACGGAGGCAGCAGGGGGGAAUAGUGCAAAAUGGGCGCAAGCCGGAGGCAGCCAUGCCGCGUGUAUGAAGAAGGCCCUAGGGUUGUAAAGUACUGUCAGUCGGGAGGCGUUACCGACAGAAGAAGCACCGGCUAACUCCGGGCCAGCAGCCGCGGUAAUUC